ensembl:lncRNA
CGCCCCCACACUGAUUGGCAAGAAGAACAUUACAAUACACACAGAACAACUGGCAUAACGGACAACGAAAUACAAUGCAAGACAUAACACACAAACUAUUUAACUGUCCCAGGGUCGCUACCAUAUCGUAAAUCGUAAAAUAAUCGAAUUCGUUCUCAGCCUAUUUUUGCCAUUUAUUUACCGUGUUACUAUGGCAGAAUAAAGAAUAAAUUCAUGCAUUAUCAUUCAACUUGAACAUGUGUUUUUACAGUAUAGAGUGGUGGAGAGGGAUGACGUAUGUUGGCAAACCCGGGAAGUGAGCGUCGCCCUCGGUUCCCUUGACAAAAAGCCAACGGGUUUUCCAUUGGAUUUUGGAUUAUUGCAGAAAAAUCCUCAACUCCUUUUUUCAACGGGGCUGAAUCCAGUCACUUGACCGUCAUGGUUGCUAUGGUGGUUGCUAUCGACCACCCCCUCUAACGGCCUGAUUCCACCGGACGCGUUACGGCAACAUUACGGCCGCGGCACGUCUUGGCCGCGGUCACCGCAGCAGAUAGGUUCCACUCUAAUCAAUGAGACCAUUUCCACCGGGCGCGGCUGCGGAACGUCCCAGCAGCGUCCCAGGAGCGGCUUGCCGUACCGCAGCGCUAUCAUUCCGUAGCAUUCCUAUUUUUGCCGCAAGCCGUUGCUGAACCGCGUCAAUUUCAACAGAGCAGAUCGAGCAGGCCAGGAAGUGAAAAAAGUAAAAGCCAUAGAGCAUCCCGUCAAUUUUCAAAAUAAAACACAAUACUCAGCUCAUGUAGCCUAUCACAACGUCAUUUAUGUACCAAAUCAUCCUUCAAUAAGGGCAAAUGGCCGGAAGGACAAAGCGUGGCAUUUAAUUGCAGUAGUUUUGGGAGUGGAAGGCGAGUACAUUAGGUUUAGGAUUAUCGCGUGAUCUCGUGAUCUCGCGUGAAUACGGCUGCCGCUGCGCUGCCGUAACGCGCCCGGUGGAAAUGCAAGCAGGGCAAAGUCGCGGCCAAGACGUGCCGCAGCCGUAACGCUGCCGUAACGCGUCCGGUGGAAUCCCCGGGUAAUACUCGUGGCUCUAAAAACCACGCAGCAAAGGAGCUGCCGUCAAUUGGGUUGUUUUUGUCGUAAACUAGGGUCCGAUGGUUGAAAAAUAGACAGAUAUUCCAAGGUAUCCUUAAAAAGCAGCUUGGAUGUGUUUAUUUUCUGCAGUUUAGACUUCUUCUGUAACUAAUUUUUGAAAGCAAAACACCAAGCUCAUUGAUUUAACAAGGGAGGGUUAUUUGAAACAAUUUAUUAAAUAAAUAUUUGUGAGAGGUCAUUCCUUCUCCUGAUUUUACUUCCUAUUUAUGUCUAGGGUAAACCCCUACUGUCCACAAGCAUCCCCCCCUCCCCAUAUGGAUUUGGAGAAUUGUUGCCACGUCCCAGUGGUGGAGAGUAGUCUAUAUUAUAUGCUGUUUGGGUCCAUUCCGAUCUGAACACACUUCCGGUUGGGGAGGGUGGGGGUGGAGGGGGGUAUCCCUAUUCACAAGAGCCACUUCCUGUUUAUGAUUUAUGACGGGUCAUAAAAUCCAUUGUGUAGGGAUGACAGGUGUAAUGCCAGUGGUGAACCUGCAGGGGUCGCUGGGGUGCGGGAUCUGUAUAGACAGAGGUGUGAUUAGUGUAUGUGGGUGUGUGGGCGUGUAUGUAUAUAUGUGUGUGUGUGUGUGUGUGUGUGUGUGUGUGUGUGUGGAUAUGCGUAGUCGAAUCGGCUGAACUGUAGGGGUGUUAGCAGAUUGAUCACUGUGUUGUUGGAAGGAUAGCCGUGUGUGUGUGUGUGUGUGUGUGUGUGUGUGUGUGUGUGUGUGUGUGUGUGUGUGUGUGUGUGUGUGUGUGUGAGAGAGUGUGUCAACAGAUGUUUCAUGGGCUAUGAUUCUAUUAACAAUAUGUGGACAGCAGUAGUAUUAUAUGAUACAAUUCUUAUAACAGAUGUGUUUGUACGUAGUGUAGGAUAAAAGUGUAAUUCAAUGCCUUUGAACAAUGAGGGUUGUAUAAUUCGGUGCCUUAAUGUCUGUGGAGAAGCAACGCCUCUAUUGUUA